UACGUAGGGGGGCAAGCGUUGUCCGGAAUCAUUGGGCGUAAAGCGCGUGUAGGCGGCCCGAUAAGUCCGCUGUGAAAGUCCAGGGCUCAACCCUGGGAUGCCGGUGGAUACUGUCGGGCUCGAGUCCGGAAGAGGCGAGUGGAAUUCCUGGUGUAGCGGUGAAAUGGCGCAGAUAUCAGGAGGAACACCAAUGGCGAAGGCAGCUCGCUGGGACGUGACUGACGCUGAGACGCGAAAGCGUGGGGAGCAAACAGG
rnacentral:rRNA from 1 species